UGCUAAUGAAGCGUUCCAUGACGUUACUAACCGGCUUUCUUCCGUUGCUUCAGGACGUAUUUACAAGAACAUAACUGCUGCUUCAGGACCAUAGACCUUCUUAAUUAUUUGUCGGGGUAUCACAGCGAAGAUACAUUAAGGCGUGUUUACACUCCUCACAUCCCUGUCAGAGGAGAGGUCAGCCCGGCUCCUGGAAGUGAUGUGACCCUGUUACCGUGUUACCGCACGCGUUUUCAUCCAUUCUCACCUAGAGCACGUUGUGUCACUCCGUUACCCGGGAUGUCAGGGAGAAGUGGACGUGAAAUGGAACUGGGAGCUGCACACGGGUCGGGAAUCUGGGAUGGAUGUCAUAUUUAUUAAAUAAAACGUGACACUUAAGCAAUUUAA